AAAAAACCAAGGCAUAAAACUUGCUCAAAGUAAAUAGAAUUUCGUUUGAGCAAUGAUCUCAUCCUCUGCUCAAACGAAGGCUUUUGGUUGCCAAGAUGAGUCUUCAAGUCCUUUAAUUCCUAUUCAAACUUGGCAAUCUCAACAUUAAGUUUAGCUUCAAGAAUCGUAGUCCUCUUUUUCCAAGUAUGGAUUUCGGUUUUCAUCCUAUUAUCAUACUCUGCAAUCUACUCUUAGUAGUUGGUCGCUAUGCAAUCUAACUAGUAGGAGCCAAAUCAGAAGGCAUUCAUUAGUUCAGCAAGGGGGCAGCUUCCAUGUCCUCAAUAUCCUUCUUCUUGAUUAUUCUAGCAGCAAAACUUAAGCUCCAGCGAAAGAGGAGACAUGGGCAUUACACACAAAGAGAUGGGUAACGGUGAGCAUGCUUGGUGAGGAGUAUUGGUUGAAGGGGAAUUUUUAUACAUGUAGUUUCUAAUUUUGUUCAUUACACUCUCAAUACUAAAAACUAAGGCUACGUUUGGCAUGCAGGAUUAAAUUGGAUUGACUAUAAGAACUGGAUUGGAUUAGGUUAGAUUGGAUUAGUCUGGAUUAUUUAUAAUGUUGUCCUAUGUUUGGUACGAUACAAGAUUAAUACUGG
rnacentral:lncRNA from 1 species